CAAGGUUUCCGUAGGUGAACCUGCGGAAGGAUCAUUAACGAGUUCAACGUCUGGGGAUAAAGGUUGUUGCUGGCUUUUCUAGCAUGGUGCACGCCUUGAUCCUGGGAUGUCUUUGUCCUCUUUACACCUGUGCACCAUCUGUAGUUAUGGGGGGGUCACUGAGGUUGUUUGAUCUCGAACGCCUUCCCCUCGCUACGAAUGCAUUUUUACAUCAUCUUAAUAAAAAGUUUUUGGAACGUUUGUCCCUACAAAUGAAAUACAACUUUCAGCAACGGAUCUCUUGGCUCUCGCAUCGAUGAAGAACGCAGCGAAAUGCGAUAAGUAAUGUGAAUUGCAGAAUUCAGUGAAUCAUCGAAUCUUUGAACGCACCUUGCGCUCCUUGGUAUUCCGAGGAGCAUGCCUGUUUGAGUGUCAUGAAAUUCUCAACUGCUUUGGCUUUUUUGUUCAAAGUGAAGUUGGAUUUGGAGUGGGAUUGUCGGCUUAGGUUUCGGCUGCUCCAAAAAACAUUAAAAGCCCUUUUCUAAUCUUGGCAAGAAAAAGUAUCUUUGACGUGAUAACUCCUCUACGUCGCAGAGAAAGCCUCGAGCUUGAAGGCGCAUUAUAACAUCUCUUAUAUGCGGCUUCUAUUGGGAAACCCCGGCUUUUCUAACAGGAUUUUUGUCGUUCGACCUCAAAUCAGGCAGGACUACCCGCUGAA
rnacentral:rRNA from 1 species